GGUUAAGCGACUAAGCGUACACGGUGGAUGCCCUGGCAGUCAGAGGCGAUGAAGGACGUGCUAAUCUGCGAUAAGCGUCGGUAAGGUGAUAUGAACCGUUAUAACCGGCGAUUUCCGAAUGGGGAAACCCAGUGUGUUUCGACACACUAUCAUUAACUGAAUCCAUAGGUUAAUGAGGCGAACCGGGGGAACUGAAACAUCUAAGUACCCCGAGGAAAAGAAAUCAACCGAGAUUCCCCCAGUAGCGGCGAGCGAACGGGGAGGAGCCCAGAGCCUGAAUCAGUGUGUGUGUUAGUGGAAGCGUCUGGAAAGGCGCGCGAUACAGGGUGACAGCCCCGUACACAAAAAUGCACAUGCUGUGAGCUCGAUGAGUAGGGCGGGACACGUGGUAUCCUGUCUGAAUAUGGGGGGACCAUCCUCCAAGGCUAAAUACUCCUGACUGACCGAUAGUGAACCAGUACCGUGAGGGAAAGGCGAAAAGAACCCCGGCGAGGGGAGUGAAAAAGAACCUGAAACCGUGUACGUACAAGCAGUGGGAGCACGCUUAGGCGUGUGACUGCGUACCUUUUGUAUAAUGGGUCAGCGACUUAUAUUCUGUAGCAAGGUUAACCGAAUAGGGGAGCCGAAGGGAAACCGAGUCUUAACUGGGCGUUAAGUUGCAGGGUAUAGACCCGAAACCCGGUGAUCUAGCCAUGGGCAGGUUGAAAGUUGGGUAACACUAACUGGAGGACCGAACCGACUAAUGUUGAAAAAUUAGCGGAUGACUUGUGGCUGGGGGUGAAAGGCCAAUCAAACCGGGAGAUAGCUGGUUCUCCCCGAAAGCUAUUUAGGUAGCGCCUCGUGAAUUCAUCUCCGGGGGUAGAGCACUGUUUCGGCAAGGGGGUCAUCCCGACUUACCAACCCGAUGCAAACUGCGAAUACCGGAGAAUGUUAUCACGGGAGACACACGGCGGGUGCUAACGUCCGUCGUGAAGAGGGAAACAACCCAGACCGCCAGCUAAGGUCCCAAAGUCAUGGUUAAGUGGGAAACGAUGUGGGAAGGCCCAGACAGCCAGGAUGUUGGCUUAGAAGCAGCCAUCAUUUAAAGAAAGCGUAAUAGCUCACUGGUCGAGUCGGCCUGCGCGGAAGAUGUAACGGGGCUAAACCAUGCACCGAAGCUGCGGCAGCGACGCUGAUGCGUUGUUGGGUAGGGGAGCGUUCUGUAAGCCUGUGAAGGUGUGCUGUGAGGCAUGCUGGAGGUAUCAGAAGUGCGAAUGCUGACAUAAGUAACGAUAAAGCGGGUGAAAAGCCCGCUCGCCGGAAGACCAAGGGUUCCUGUCCAACGUUAAUCGGGGCAGGGUGAGUCGACCCCUAAGGCGAGGCCGAAAGGCGUAGUCGAUGGGAAACAGGUUAAUAUUCCUGUACUUGGUGUUACUGCGAAGGGGGACGGAGAAGGCUAUGUUGGCCGGGCGACGGUUGUCCCGGUUUAAGCGUGUAGGCUGGUUUUCCAGGCAAAUCCGGAAAACUAAGGCUGAGGCGUGAUGACGAGGCACUACGGUGCUGAAGCAACAAAUGCCCUGCUUCCAGGAAAAGCCUCUAAGCAUCAGGUAACAUCAAAUCGUACCCCAAACCGACACAGGUGGUCAGGUAGAGAAUACCAAGGCGCUUGAGAGAACUCGGGUGAAGGAACUAGGCAAAAUGGUGCCGUAACUUCGGGAGAAGGCACGCUGAUAUGUAGGUGAAGUCCCUCGCGGAUGGAGCUGAAAUCAGUCGAAGAUACCAGCUGGCUGCAACUGUUUAUUAAAAACACAGCACUGUGCAAACACGAAAGUGGACGUAUACGGUGUGACGCCUGCCCGGUGCCGGAAGGUUAAUUGAUGGGGUCAGCGCAAGCGAAGCUCUUGAUCGAAGCCCCGGUAAACGGCGGCCGUAACUAUAACGGUCCUAAGGUAGCGAAAUUCCUUGUCGGGUAAGUUCCGACCUGCACGAAUGGCGUAAUGAUGGCCAGGCUGUCUCCACCCGAGACUCAGUGAAAUUGAACUCGCUGUGAAGAUGCAGUGUACCCGCGGCAAGACGGAAAGACCCCGUGAACCUUUACUAUAGCUUGACACUGAACAUUGAGCCUUGAUGUGUAGGAUAGGUGGGAGGCUUUGAAGUGUGGACGCCAGUCUGCAUGGAGCCGACCUUGAAAUACCACCCUUUAAUGUUUGAUGUUCUAACGUUGACCCGUAAUCCGGGUUGCGGACAGUGUCUGGUGGGUAGUUUGACUGGGGCGGUCUCCUCCUAAAGAGUAACGGAGGAGCACGAAGGUUGGCUAAUCCUGGUCGGACAUCAGGAGGUUAGUGCAAUGGCAUAAGCCAGCUUGACUGCGAGCGUGACGGCGCGAGCAGGUGCGAAAGCAGGUCAUAGUGAUCCGGUGGUUCUGAAUGGAAGGGCCAUCGCUCAACGGAUAAAAGGUACUCCGGGGAUAACAGGCUGAUACCGCCCAAGAGUUCAUAUCGACGGCGGUGUUUGGCACCUCGAUGUCGGCUCAUCACAUCCUGGGGCUGAAGUAGGUCCCAAGGGUAUGGCUGUUCGCCAUUUAAAGUGGUACGCGAGCUGGGUUUAGAACGUCGUGAGACAGUUCGGUCCCUAUCUGCCGUGGGCGCUGGAGAACUGAGGGGGGCUGCUCCUAGUACGAGAGGACCGGAGUGGACGCAUCACUGGUGUUCGGGUUGUCAUGCCAAUGGCACUGCCCGGUAGCUAAAUGCGGAAGAGAUAAGUGCUGAAAGCAUCUAAGCACGAAACUUGCCCCGAGAUGAGUUCUCCCUGACUCCUUGAGAGUCCUGAAGGAACGUUGAAGACGACGACGUUGAUAGGCCGGGUGUGUAAGCGCAGCGAUGCGUUGAGCUAACCGGUACUAAUGAACCGUGAGGCUUAACCUU
rnacentral:rRNA from 1 species